AAUAAAUAAUUAAAUAUCUUGUUUAACAUUCGUCCAAUCGUCCUCCCUUACUCCGCUUUUGCUGCUCUAUGCUCCAAGCUCUAAAGAAAGGAAACAAAAUCGUUCCUCUUUUGUUCCUCCGCCUUUCAUGGCUUAUUUUUCUCUCUAAAUUUUUUUGAUAACUCUGAAUUCUUCUGGAUUUCUAAAAAUCGGGAGGGAAGUUUUUCAAUUUUCAACAAUUAUUUCCCCCCAAAAAGACCCCCGAAGUAUUUGGGAUAUGUAAACUACAACUAGGUUUUUUUUUUUAAUUUCCCCCUUAAACCAUCGUCUUUGAGUGGAUAAUUGUCGACAAUUUAAAUUCUUCCUUCCCUCGCGGACUUCAUAACCGAUUUGCGAUGAAUUGAACUAGCUUGCACGAAUUCAGGUAUUUUCUGAAAUCUUCCAUUAAUUUUACUGUACUUUGGGUUAAUUUGUCAAAUGUGGAUUGCAUUGAUUUUCAAUUGACACAAUAUUUUAUUUGUGGAAAUUUGGGUGAUUUUAUUUGUUUGUGUGGAGGGUUGAUUUGUUGGUGAUGGCAGCAGCUUUAAUUUGUUGAAUGCUUGUAUGCAGAGUUGCGUAGGUGUCAAACUUAGAAUUGGCCAUAUUAUCUCAGUUCCGAGACUGGAAGUCUGUUUACACCUAACAUAUGAGUUGCAUAUAUAUUUUAUUAUGUUUCACGAGUACUACAUGAAUAAUAAGCUGUACUUUUCACUAGAAUUUCUUCAAUUUAUUGUACAAAUCUGCAAUCUGAGAUUAUCGAUGUUCUGAUUCAUACUGAAUAUUAAUGUUUUGUUCCCGUCAAUUCUUGUUGCUCUAUCUCGUUUUUCAAUUUUCACUUCAAUUAAAAUCAAUUUCUCAAUUUGAUUUAAUUCUGAUUAUGUGUAUGAAAUUCUGCCUGAGUUUAUUAUCAGUAAUCAUUCUACAUAGCAGUCUCUACUUAUCCAGCUUAUGAGAUUAUGCUUUACCACCAAAUCAUUUGAGUACCAGUGGGGAAUGAUCUGAUAAAUCUGGAAAAACCAGAAACUUAAUGAGACCUAAAAACACGAAAAUAUGCGUUGUGAAUAGACUUAUUUUGGCAUAAUGAAUCAAGGAACUGCAGAGAAGCCUCACAUUACGGUCACCUGUUUCACCUUUAUCAACAAGUUAAUCCACAAUGCUUAGUUCACCUUGACCCAGAUCUGUUAUACCAACAGCAUGCUCACUGUACACCAGUUUCUAAAUAUUUUACCACCAAAAACAACGUUGGGGUUUAAGCUCGCUCUGAUUGCAAAAUGAUACAAUGUCUUCACUAAGAACGCCACUGCUGGAACUCAUUUCACCGUAUUGUCUCUCAUAAGCACACUGAGCAUUCUCUGCAUUACAUGUACAGUCAAGAUUGCAUUUACAGGAUGAUAGGUGUUUGAAUGAUCUGGUUGGAAUUUCUGGUCCUAAAGGUAGAAAAAUUAGGGCGUGGCACCAUAGUGACGUAGUAAAAUGAAAUAGGAGGAGGGGGGGGAGGUGUCAGUAUCCUAGGCAACCAUGACCAUGUGUCAGAUGUCAACUUAUGAAGGAGAGACUUAUUCAGCAAUUCAUAUCUAGAUGCCAAAACUGUAAAAACUAGUUUCAAGACAUGCUCUAGGUCUGAAAUUUAAUUAGCACUUCAUGUAUAGAUGCCAAGACUGUGAUUGGCAUACUUUCCUUCACACACAAAGGGAAAGGUGGAAUUGAGGUAAAGGGAGAAGAGAUGGUACACAAGUCAGAUAAUCAGUAAGUUUCAGUGACAUUUCUGGUUUAUAUUUUAUUUAGAAUUUUAAAUGCUACAUUUCUGGUUUUUAUUUAUUAUAAACAAUAAUUUUGGAACAACCCUUUCCCCAGGUUCCGUAGUGGUGACAACAUGUUUUAGUGUAAUGUGUAGUGUUCAAUGCGAUUUUCGAAGUUUGGUUUGUUUAACGUGGUCCACCAGUUUGACUUUUGGGCCAGUAUUAGAAGGUUCUGUUGCUGUAUGGUGGGGUGCUGACCAGGUUUGAGUCUGCUAGUUCAGUAAAGGAAAAUGGUCAGAGGCUUGGUCAGGUUGGUGCUACAGUUGAUGGUCUGUGGUGCUGGCUACUAACUAACUGUUGGUAUGGGGAGUGCAUUCAACAAUCAAAUGCGGCCAAGGAUGAAUCUGAAGAGUUCAAAGUAAUAAGAUCAAAGGAGGAGGGAACAAAAACAACUUUAUUCCACCUAUGUCAGUUCCUAGGUUAUUCAGACUAAGAUCGAACAAGGAAAAACAAGCAAAACCUGGAACAAGAGAAGUGGAAACAAUUAAAGCAACCCUCUCAACAUUACAAGAAGGUUCAUUUUAUAUGCUCAUUACGGUUUGCAUGUUAUUUCAUAUAUGAUUAAAGUACACAUUUAUUAGUACUUGACGAAUCUAUAAUCCCCGUUUGCUAGAAAUUCAGCGAAAAACACGUUAAAGGAUGAUCAAAAGAUUCAAAACAAUAGUAUUGGUA